UUAAUUCUCUCACUAAGUUUAGGGAGUUUGACUUUAUUUUUAUGACAUGCAUUUGGUCGAUAUUUAAAUUAUUUUAAAAAAAUUAUGUGGUUCCUUUACAUUUAACUUAAAAAUUUCAUUUUACUCAUGGACUCAAGUGUAUUAACUUACAUAUGCAUACUAGUUUAAACGUCACUGUAUGGUAAAAUAAUACCAUGUUUUAGAAAUAAGGAUCCAAUUCGUAAUAAAAUUAUGAAAGACUUUGUAUGUGUGUAAUUUAUUUUAAGAACAUUAUGAUAUAUGCUUUCCAUUUAGUGCACCACAUGCCUGUUAGGCUACUUAGUAGCAAAAAGAUACCUUUGACUUUAGCAAGCUAUUCUUGUCUAAUUACUAAGAAACUAUACAUGAGGAUUCUUCAGGUAAUAUUAUUUUUGUUGAUACUUACUCUUUUUAUUUCGUAGUGAUUUUGUUUUUCUAUGUGUAGAACAUAAUUAAGAGCAUGAUCUCUUUCAGGUGGAAGAAUUAAAAUUGUUUCUUCGUAAUAAAUUACAUAUAUUACUAUACACAUAUUCAAAAGGAUUUGACAGAUAAGUUGUUUUAGUUUUUAAGAAGUACAAUUUGAAAUGAAUAAAUGCAUAAUGCUUAGGUUAUGAGUAGGAGGAAAGAGGAAUUUUAAAUAUUAAGUAUAAUUUUCUCCACUAUGAUAUAGUCAUACUACAUUGUGGCUGUGAUUCUUAACUUUGCUCAGGUAUUUAGAAAUGGUUUUAUUUGUUUCCACAGACCUAUAAAACAAAUAUACAGUUUCAUAUUUUAAUUUCAACUACUUUAUUUGCAUAAUCAAUAUUAGUAUGGUAGGUGUAAAUAAGAGCAGCAAUAAUGGCUACUAUUUUUGCAUAUAAUUUUAAUUUGCCUUAACAAGUCAUAUUGAAAAUAUGUGUGGUAUAAAAUGGAUCUCUAGUUGGUAAUAUUUUACAGAUAUAGAUAUACACGAAACAAACUUACUGAAAAAUGAAAAUAAAUUGUGUACCUACUUUAGGCAAAGUUUUGAUUUUUUUAUUCCACUUUGUAAACGCUCUGUUUUAAGAUCUUUUGGCAACCUAUUAAACAGGAUCACUGUCUGAUUGCUCGCUCAGUGGGCUACCUAAGGUUACAACUCGUAGCGCUGGGAUUAAUUAUUUCAUCUUAGAUCCUUUCGCCUAGUUUUUACGCGUAGUGACAUUUCUUCAUUGGUUUCAUAUAAAUCGAUAGCCAAGGUCAUAUAAUCAUAUUUACAGAAUACGUUUACUGGACAAGGAAGUUGUUAUACCUUUUAUUGUAUAUGAAUUUUAUCGUAAUCAAUACAUAUAAUAAAACAGUAGAAAAAAAAUCCUGUACAUUGAAUAUAUUUACAUAAAAUCAAAAUUAGACGAUAGUAACAGAGAAAGAAUUUGAAAAAAACCUGUUUGUAUGUCUGUCUGUUUGUAUACGCUAAUCUUCGGAACUACUGGUCGGAUUUGAAUGAAACUUUUUUUUGUUAUAUAGUUAUUAAGCCUGGGUAAAAUAUAGGGUAUAAAUGAUAUUGAAGACUGGAACACUUAAUGGAGAACAAUGAUGGUAAAGCUAAACUGUAGGAAAUAUAGAAAUUUCGCCUUAACAAAAGUUGUUCAGCCUAAUGAGCAUUUUCUGUUGAGAUAUAAAAAUCGAAGAUCUGGAACACCUGAAGAAGAGUCAUAAUGGUCCAGCUAAACUAAGGAAAUAUACAUAAUCUCAGUUGUAUGAGCAUCUUCUAUAUAGGUAUCGUUACGCUUUGUUUGUACACUUAAAUUUCUCUAAUCAUUUUGACUCCUUACCAAAAAUUGUUCGGUCACGCGAAUGAAGUUGGGGGCUAGUAUUACAUAUUUUUAACAAUUCUCAUACUUUCUUUGGUCGCCUAUUCUGAAUAUCUAUUUUUUUUUUCUUUGGUGGGUCCCAAUAUGGAAGUUUACAAAAUAUCAGUAGCUCUCGUUUUAUAUUUAGGCAACAAUUUGUUAAAAAAAUAAUAAUCAAAGUGUACAAAUAAACCACACAUAAUACAAGAUCAUUUAUUGCUCAAAUGUAGGUAUGCAUACGAUAAUUUAUUAUACUUAUAAAUACUACCUAUAUGCCCAUGGUUAUGUAACCAUGAUCCAAUCAAAGAACAGGUCUGACAUAGUUUAAAACAGGAAAAAGUAUGCGGAGGUGUAGUUAUGGCAUGUCUUUGGGAAAUAUUUUACAUUACUUAUUUACGCACCAAAUUGUCGACUUUUUAAAAUCUGCCAGAAUCAAUUGGAAAUUUUAAUAUAGGUACCAAUUUGAUUGAGAUGACAAUUAAGGUAUACCAACCACGUGAAGCGCCAACACCAAUAAGACGUGCUACUAUCUUGAAGAUUUUAUUUUAAGACAAGGUAACAAUUCUAAUUUAUUGAAUCAAUACAAUUAACAUGUUAAAAGAGAAUUCAAUAGUUAAUAUUUUAGGAAAUACGAAUGUGGUCAAAAGCUUAUGUAUAUUAUUAAUAAAACAUUAUGCCAGCACAUACGUACUAUGAAAUGCGGAAAUAAAAGUAAACAAAAUGGAAAAGAUAAACAUAGAUAAUAAUAAUCGAUAUUUUUACAUAGGCCUUUAAAUGAAUUGAAUAGGUUUUGUUUGCUUAGAAUAUAUUAGCACUAACAGUAAACCAUCGGGAAUAUCGUUCAUGUUUGUAAGCAUAAACGAUUACCCCAAUCCUGUCGUAUAACAAAAAAAUUUCGUGCUUGGCCUACCCACAGCAUGAACGGAAAUUGAUUCAGGAAAUGGAUAAUGUGUUAUGUUAUAAAUGUUGUGGACCAAGUGUUUAAUUAGAACAUUAUUGAUAAUGCCCGGACACUUUGAAUAUGGGAAAAUCAUUUGUUGUGUGGCUGUUGGGCAAUAAUUUGAGAAAUUUGUUAUAAUAAGAAUCUGUCACGGCUCCGGCGCUGCGGAGCUCUGGCAGCCCAUGCGAACUUAAUUGUAGCCGUCGUAGCAGAUGGUUUUCGCUCGCGAGUUAAGAAGCAGGUAGUCAAAUGUGUCAAAAUACACAUAAAUCUGCUCCUUAACUCGCGAGUCGCCUCGCCCCUUCGCGCCUUCGCGGGUAGGAAUUUCACUUUAGGUGCGUCAAGACUUCGUGGAGUCGGUUUUACAGCAAUUCGUUUUUGUAACUAUGUAUUUUACAUAGUUACAAAACAUAUGUAGUUAAUUAAUAGUGAUAAACCCGUAUUUGUAAUUGUUCUGUCCCAAUAGAACACGCGCAUAAUAACAAUUUGAUUAUAUUAGGACAUUAACCUCUCAUUUCAAGUUGCGAGUGUAUAUUUAAUAGCAUCUAAUUAAUCACUUGGUCCAUAUCGUAUUAAACAAUUAUAUCUCCAAAAGGCAAUUACUGGGAAGGGAAGUCAAUAUAACUACCAGAUAAAUUUGAAUGAGUCGUGUUAUUUGUUCUAACAUAUCUGAACGUUUUUAUAAUUAGGCAGGGAGCUACCAUUAAAGAGCUAUUGUUAUGCAUAACAUAAUUGAAAUACAACUGUUUUUGAGUAGUCAUAACCGAUAUUUUGUGUUCUAUUUAGCUGAAUCCUUAUUUAUCAUUACAGACCAUGGAUGAAAUAAUAACAAACUUCUUUUGAUGUCAAAAACAAGUUAAUACAAAGUUGUACCCAAGAUAUUGGCAAGCUUCUGGAGAAAUAUGAAUGAGGCCAAGCUUCUGUCACUGUUCGGGCGCUACGGGGCUCAGGCGGCCCGCCACGAUCUAAAUCGUCGCAAAUGGUUCUCGCUCAUCACCGCUGCUUUUGCGUGUUGGUUCACUUGCGUAAUAACAAGGGUCUGUGGCAGGGUUAUCAACCGUCUUUGGCUCUGAACACAAAAACCCGAAUAAAUACAAGUAAACCAUA